UACCAUGAUGAACAAGAGCUAUUAGCUCGACAUAAUCCCAGCUCGUCGACAGCAGCCUCACCAUAAAUCUCACGUUUAGAGGCUGCCAUGAGAGGAACUCCAACCCUGAAUA
rnacentral:snoRNA from 1 species